rnacentral:rRNA from 1 species
GGAAGGGGAUAACCCCGGGAAACUGGGGAUAAUACCCCAUAGGUUACGGAUGCUGGAAUGCUUCGUAGCUCAAAGUUCCGCCGCCAUAGGAUGGGUCUGCGGCCGAUUAGGUAGUUGGUGGGGUAACGGCCCAACAAGCCUGUAAUCGGUAAGGGUUGUGGGAGAAAGAGCCCGGAGAUGGAUUCUGAGACACGAAUCCAAGCCCUACGGGGCGCAGCAGGCGCGAAAACUUUACAAUGCGGGCAACCGUGAUAAAGGAACCCUGAGUGCCUGUAAAUGCAGGUUGUUUGUGAGUGCAAAAAGCCUCACGAGAAAGGGCCGGGCAAGACCGGUGCCAGCCGCCGCGGUAAUACCGGCGGUUCGAGUGGUGGCCACUAUUAUUGGGCUUAAAGCGUUCGUAGCUUGUCAGUUAAGUCUCUUGGGAAAUCUGGCGGCUUAACCGUCCGGCGUCCAAGAGAUACUGGCAGGCUAGGAACCGGGAGAGGUGAGGGGUACUCUAGGGGUAGGAGUGAAAUCCUGUAAUCCUUAGGGGACCACCUAUGGCGAAGGCGCCUCACCAGAACGGCUUCGACAGUGAGGGACGAAAGCUGGGGGAGCAAACCGGAUUAGAUACCCGGGUAGUCCCAGCCGUAAACGAUGCGCGUUAGGUGUAUCGGUGACCACGAGUCAUCGGGGUGCCGAAGGGAAACCGUGAAACGUGCCGCCUGGGAAGUACGGUCGCAAGGCUGAAACUUAA